rnacentral:rRNA from 1 species
UACGUAGGGUCCGAGCGUUGUCCGGAAUUAUUGGGCGUAAAGAGCUCGUAGGCGGUUUGUCGCGUCUGCUGUGAAAACUCGGGGCUUAACUCCGGGCCUGCAGUGGGUACGGGCAGACUAGAGUGCGGUAGGGGAGACUGGAAUUCCUGGUGUAGCGGUGAAAUGCGCAGAUAUCAGGAGGAACACCGGUGGCGAAGGCGGGUCUCUGGGCCGUAACUGACGCUGAGGAGCGAAAGCGUGGGGGAGCGAACAGG